GACGAAUGCUGGCGGCGUGCUUAACACAUGCAAGUCGAGCGAGGCCCCUCCUUCGGGAGGGUGUCCUAGCGGCGAACGGGUGAGGAACCCGUUGGCAACCUGCCCUCAGCCCUGGGAUAACUCCGGGAAACCGGGGCUAAUACCGGAUACGACCUCCACGGUCAUCUGCGGGGGUGGAAAGGUUUUCGGCUGGGGAUGGGCCCGCGGCCUAUCAGCUAGUUGGUGGGGUAGUGGCCCACCAAGGCGACGACGGGUAGCCGGCCUGAGAGGGCGACCGGCCACACUGGGACUGAGACACGGCCCAGACUCCUACGGGAGGCAGCAGUGGGGAAUAUUGCGCAAUGGGCGGAAGCCUGACGCAGCAACGCCGCGUGAGGGAUGACGGCCUUCGGGUUGUAAACCUCUUUCGGCAGGGACGAAGCGAAAGUGACGGUACCUGCAGAAGAAGCACCGGCUAACUACGUG
rnacentral:rRNA from 1 species